CCUACGGGUGGCUGCAGUGGGGAAUAUUGCACAAUGGGCGCAAGCCUGAUGCAGCCAUGCCGCGUGUGUGAAGAAGGCCUUCGGGUUGUAAAGCACUUUCAGCGGGGAGGAAGGCGGCGAGGCUAAUAACCUCAUCGAUUGACGUUACCCGCAGAAGAAGCACCGGCUAACUCCGUGCCAGCAGCCGCGGUAAUACGGAGGGUGCAAGCGUUAAUCGGAAUUACUGGGCGUAAAGCGCACGCAGGCGGGCUGUCAAGUCGGAUGUGAAAUCCCCGGGCUCAACCUGGGAACUGCAUUCGAAACUGGCAGGCUAGAGUCUUGUAGAGGGGGGUAGAAUUCCAGGUGUAGCGGUGAAAUGCGUAGAGAUCUGGAGGAAUACCGGUGGCGAAGGCGGCCCCCUGGACAAAGACUGACGCUCAGGUGCGAAAGCGUGGGGAGCAAACAGGAUUAGAUACCCGAGUAGUC
rnacentral:rRNA from 1 species